rnacentral:rRNA from 1 species
CCUACGGGUGGCAGCAGUGAGGAAUAUUGGUCAAUGGCCGGAAGGCUGAACCAGCCAAGUCGCGUGCAGGAAGACGGCCCUACGGGUUGUAAACUUCUUUUAUAGGGGAAUAAAGCGAACCACGUGUGGGUAUUUGAGUGUACCCUAAGAAUAAGCAUCGGCUAACUCCGUGCCAGCAGCCGCGGUAAUACGGAGGAUGCGAGCGUUAUCCGGAUUUAUUGGGUUUAAAGGGUGCGUAGGCUGUAUGUUAAGUGAGAGGUGAAAGUCCGGGGCUCAACUGUGGAAUUGCAGUUGAUACUGGACGUCUUGAGAGUGGUUGAGGUAGGCGGAAUGUGUGGUGUAGCGGUGAAAGGCUUAGAGAUCACGCAGAACUCCGAUUGCGAAGGCAGCUUACUAAGCCAGAACUGACGCUGAGGCACGAAAGCGUGGGGAUCAAACAGGAUUAGAUACCCGUGUAGUC